GAACUUGGAGUUGUUGCUUAUCAUAUGAAGGAGUAUAAGAAAGCAGUGCGGUGGUUUGAGAAAACAUUGUCUCACAUUCCAUCUUCCUUAAGUGAGAUGUGGGAAUCAACAGUAAUCAAUCUUGCUCAUGCCCUCAGAAAAUUAAAGAGGUACAACGAGGCAAUCGCAUAUUAUGAGAGAGCCCUUGCAUUGUCUACAAGAAGUCUAAGUACUUACGCUGGUCUUGCAUACACUUAUCAUCUCCAGAACAAUUACACAUCAGCUAUUACAUACUAUCACAAGGCGUUGUGGUUCAAACCAGAUGAUCAAUUCUGCACAGAAAUGUUAACUUUAGCUCUUGUUGAUGAAAGCCGCCAUGGAAUUGACCCAAUA
rnacentral:misc_RNA from 1 species